rnacentral:rRNA from 1 species
ACGGGGGCAACCCUGGUGGCGAGUGGCGAACGGGUGAGUAAUACAUCGGAACGUGUCCUGUAGUGGGGGAUAGCCCGGCGAAAGCCGGAUUAAUACCGCAUACGAUCUACGGAAGAAAGCGGGGGAUCGAAAGACCUCGCGCUAUAGGGGCGGCCGAUGGCAGAUUAGCUAGUUGGUGGGGUAAAGGCCUACCAAGGCGACGAUCUGUAGCUGGUCUGAGAGGACGACCAGCCACACUGGGACUGAGACACGGCCCAGACUCCUACGGGAGGCAGCAGUGGGGAAUUUUGGACAAUGGGGGAAACCCUGAUCCAGCAAUGCCGCGUGUGUGAAGAAGGCCUUCGGGUUGUAAAGCACUUUUGUCCGGAAAGAAAACUUCUGCCCUAAUACGGCGGGAGGAUGACGGUACCGGAAGAAUAAGCACCGGCUAACUACGUGCCAGCAGCCGCGGUAAUACGUAGGGUGCGAGCGUUAAUCGGAAUUACUGGGCGUAAAGCGUGCGCAGGCGGUUCGUUAAGACAGAUGUGAAAUCCCCGGGCUUAACCUGGGAACUGCAUUUGUGACUGGCGAGCUAGAGUAUGGCAGAGGGGGGUAGAAUUCCACGUGUAGCAGUGAAAUGCGUAGAGAUGUGGAGGAAUACCGAUGGCGAAGGCAGCCCCCUGGGCCAAUACUGACGCUCAUGCACGAAAGCGUGGGGAGCAAACAGGAUUAGAUACCCUGGUAGUCCACGCCCUAAACGAUGUCAACUAGUUGUUGGGUCUUCAUUGACUUAGUAACGUAGCUAACGCGUGAAGUUGACCGCCUGGGGAGUACGGUCGCAAGAUUAAAACUCAAAGGAAUUGACGGGGACCCGCACAAGCGGUGGAUGAUGUGGAUUAAUUCGAUGCAACGCGAAAAACCUUACCUACCCUUGACAUGGUCGGAACCCUGCUGAAAGGUGGGGGUGCUCGANAAGAGAACCGAUACACAGGUGCUGCAUGGNCUGUCGUCAGCUCGUGUCGUGAGAUGUUGGGUUAAGUCCCGCAACGAGCGCAACCCUUGUCCUUAGUUGCUACGCAAGAGCACUCUAAGGAGACUGCCGGUGACAAACCGGAGGAAGGUGGGGAUGACGUCAAGUCCUCAUGGCCCUUAUGGGUAGGGCUUCACACGUCAUACAAUGGUCGGAACAGAGGGCUGCCAACCCGUGAGGGGGAGCUAAUCCCAGAAAACCGAUCGUAGUCCGGAUCGUAGUCUGCAACUCGACUACGUGAAGCUGGAAUCGCUAGUAAUCGCGGAUCAGC